GAUGAACGCUGGCGGCGUGCCUAAUACAUGCAAGUAGAACGCUGAAGGAGGAGCUUGCUCUUCUGGAUGAGUUGCGAACGGGUGAGUAACGCGUAGGUAACCUGCCUGGUAGCGGGGGAUAACUAUUGGAAACGAUAGCUAAUACCGCAUGACAACAGUUAUUGCAUGAUAACUGUUUAAAAGGGGCAACUGCUCCACUACCAGAUGGACCUGCGUUGUAUUAGCUAGUUGGUGAGGUAACGGCUCACCAAGGCGACGAUACAUAGCCGACCUGAGAGGGUGUUCGGCCACACUGGGACUGAGACACGGCCCAGACUCCUACGGGAGGCAGCAGUAGGGAAUCUUCGGCAAUGGACGGAAGUCUGACCGAGCAACGCCGCGUGAGUGAAGAAGGUUUUCGGAUCGUAAAGCUCUGUUGUAAGAGAAGAACGAGUGUGAGAGUGGAAAGUUCACACUGUGACGGUAUCUUACCAGAAAGGGACGGCUAACUACGUG
rnacentral:rRNA from 1 species